GACGAACGCUGGCGGCGUGCUUAACACAUGCAAGUCGAACGGAAAGGCCCUGCUUUUGUGGGGUGCUCGAUUGGCGAACGGGUGAGUAACACGUGAGUAACCUGUCCUUGACUUUGGGAUAACUUUUGGAAACUGGGGCUAAUACCGGAUAGGAGCUCCUGCUGCAUGGUGGGGGUUGGAAAGUUUCGGCGGUUGGGGAUGGACUCGCGGCUUAUCAGCUUGUUGGUGGGGUAGUGGCUUUCCAAGGCUUUGACGGGUAGCCGGCCUGAGAGGGUUACCGGCGACAUUGGGCCUGAGAUACGGCCCAGACUCCUACGGGCGGCAGCAGUGGGGAAUAUUGCACAAUGGGCGGAAGCCUGAUGCAGCAACGCCGCGUGCGGGAUGACGGCCUUCGGGUUGUAAACCGCUUUCGCCUGUGACGAAGCGUGAGUGACGGUAAUGGGUAAAGAAGCACCGGCUAACUACGUG
rnacentral:rRNA from 1 species